rnacentral:misc_RNA from 1 species
GAUGAAGAACGUAGUGAAAUGCGAUAAGUAAUGUGAAUUGCAGAAUUCAGUGAAUCAUCGAAUCUUUGAACGCACAUUGCGCCCCCUGGUAUUCCGGGGGGCAUGCCUGUCCGAGCGUCAUUACAACCCUCAAGCUCAGCUUGGUGUUGGGCCCCGCCGCCCCGGCGGGCCCUAAAGUCAGUGGCGGUGCCGUCCGGCUCCGAGCGUAGUAAUUCUUCUCGCUCUGGAGGUCCGGUCGUGUGCUCGCCAGCAACCCCCAAUUUUUUUCAGGUUGACCUCGGAUCAGGUAGGGGUACCCGCUGAACUUAAGCAUAUCAAUAAGCGGAGGA